AGACCCGAAACCCGGUGAUCUAGCCAUGGGCAGGUUGAAGGUUGGGUAACACUAACUGGAGGACCGAACCGACUAAUGUUGAAAAAUUAGCGGAUGACCUGUGGCUGGGGGUGAAAGGCCAAUCAAACCGGGAGAUAGCUGGUUCUCCCCGAAAGCUAUUUAGGUAGCGCCUCGUGAAUUCAUCUCCGGGGGUAGAGCACUGUUUCGGCUAGGGGGCCAUCCCGGCUUACCAACCCGAUGCAAACUGCGAAUACCGGAGAAUGUUAUCACGGGAGACACACGGCGGGUGCUAACGUCCGUCGUGAAGAGGGAAACAACCCAGACCGCCAGCUAAGGUCCCAAAGUCAUGGUUAAGUGGGAAACGAUGUGGGAAGGCCCAGACAGCCAGGAUGUUGGCUUAGAAGCAGCCAUCAUUUAAAGAAAGCGUAAUAGCUCACUGGUCGAGUCGGCCUGCGCGGAAGAUGUAACGGGGCUAAACCAUGCACCGAAGCUGCGGCAGCGACACUCAGGUGUUGUUGGGUAGGGGAGCGUUCUGUAAGCCUGUGAAGGUGUGUCGUGAGGCAUGCUGGAGGUAUCAGAAGUGCGAAUGCUGACAUAAGUAACGAUAAAGCGGGUGAAAAGCCCGCUCGCCGGAAGACCAAGGGUUCCUGUCCAACGUUAAUCGGGGCAGGGUGAGUCGACCCCUAAGGCGAGGCCGAAAGGCGUAGUCGAUGGGAAACGGGUUAAUAUUCCCGUACUUGGUGUUACUGCGAAGGGGGGACGGAGAAGGCUAUGUUGGCCGGGCGACGGUUGUCCCGGUUUAAGCGUGUAGGUGUGUGUUCCAGGUAAAUCCGGUUCACUUUAACACUGAGGCGUGAUGACGAGGCACUACGGUGCUGAAGCAACAAAUGCCCUGCUUCCAGGAAAAGCCUCUAAGCAUCAGGUAACAUCAAAUCGUACCCCAAACCGACACAGGUGGUCAGGUAGAGAAUACCAAGGCGCUUGAGAGAACUCGGGUGAAGGAACUAGGCAAAAUGGUGCCGUAACUUCGGGAGAAGGCACGCUGACACGUAGGUGAAGUGAUUUACUCAUGGAGCUGAAGUCAGUCGAAGAUACCAGCUGGCUGCAACUGUUUAUUAAAAACACAGCACUGUGCAAACACGAAAGUGGACGUAUACGGUGUGACGCCUGCCCGGUGCCGGAAGGUUAAUUGAUGGGGUCAGCGCAAGCGAAGCUCCUGAUCGAAGCCCCGGUAAACGGCGGCCGUAACUAUAACGGUCCUAAGGUAGCGAAAUUCCUUGUCGGGUAAGUUCCGACCUGCACGAAUGGCGUAAUGAUGGCCAGGCUGUCUCCACCCGAGACUCAGUGAAAUUGAACUCGCUGUGAAGAUGCAGUGUACCCGCGGCAAGACGGAAAGACCCCGUGAACCUUUACUAUAGCUUGACACUGAACAUUGAGCCUUGAUGUGUAGGAUAGGUGGGAGGCUUUGAAGCG
rnacentral:rRNA from 2 species